rnacentral:rRNA from 1 species
CUACGGGUUGCACCAGUGAGGAAUAUUGGACAAUGGAGGAAACUCUGAUCCAGCCAUGCCGCGUGAGUGAAGAAGGCUUUAGGGUUGUAAAGCUCUUUCAAUUGUGAAGAUAAUGACGGUAGCAAUAGAAGAAGCUCCGGCUAAAUUCGUGCCAGCAGCCGCGGUAAUACGAAUGGAGCAAGCGUUGUUCGGAAUAACUGGGCUUAAAGCGUAUGUAGGCGGACAAGAAAGUCAGGAGUGAAAUCCCAGGGCUCAACCCUGGAACUGCUCUUGAAACUCCUUGUCUAGAAUACUGGAGAGGUUGGGAGAAUUCCUAGUGUAGAGGUGAAAUUCGCAGAUAUUAGGAGGAAUACCAGUGGCGUAGGCGCCCAACUGGACAGUUAUUGACGCUCAGAUACGAAAGCGUGGGGAGCAAACAGGAUUAGAUACCCCCGUAGUC